rnacentral:rRNA from 1 species
UGGGGGAUAUUGCACAAUGGGCGAAAGCCUGAUGCAGCGACGCCGCGUGGGGGAUGAAGGCCUUCGGGUUGUAAACUUCUUUUGCUCUGAACAAGGCAUGCUAAUGGGUGUGUUGAGUGUAGGGGUUGAUUAGCGCCGGCUAACUACGUGCCAGCAGCCGCGGUAAUACGUAGGGCGCGAGCGUUGUCCGGAAUUAUUGGGCGUAAAGGGCUUGUAGGUGGCUGGUUGCGUCUGUCGUGAAAGCUCAUGGCUUAACUGUGGGUUUGCGGUGGGUACGGGCUGGCUUGAGUGCAGUAGGGGAGGCUGGAAUUCCUGGUGUAGCGGUGGAAUGCGCAGAUAUCAGGAGGAAUACCGGCGGCGAAGGCGGGUCUCUGGGCUGUUACUGACACUGAGGAGCGAAAGCAUGGGGAGCGAACAGG